AAAAAAAAAAAAAAAGCUGCCUCUGAAUGCUUCCGUGCAUUUGCCAAGACUCUGGAACUAUUAUCCUGAGGUGAGAGAAGAGACUGAGCCCAAGAAGGAAGCUGAGAAAGUGAAAUUUUUAUCCUGUGCAGCAGUCUGACAACGCCAGGCUGGUGGUGCAGACUGACAACGCCAAGCUGGCCUCAGAUGACUUUAGGACCAAGUGAAUGGAUAUGAGACAGAGGUGUCCUUGAGGCAGCUGGUGGAGCAGAUCUGAACAGUCUGAGCAGGAUCCUGGAUGAGCUGACCCUGUGCAAGUCUGACCUGGAGGCCCAGGUGGAGUCCCUGAAGGAGGAGCUGAUCUGCCUCAAGUAGAAUCAUGAGCAGGUGAAGUUCUCCAACAGGAUCAAACUCGCCAAAGCCUGUUUCCAGGUGCCAAGGGGUGUGGGAGAGGCUCAACCAGCUGAGGAAUCUGUUCUCCAAACAAAAAGGGAUUUGUAGAGAAUGAGUAAUCUGUGAUAGGAGACGAGGAUUUUUCUGCCAGUGGCAGGAAUGAGGGUGAAGGAGGUUGGCAAGCCCAGUAAUGAGGAAAGGUCAACAGCCAGGCGGUGCCCACAGCCGCUUCCUCUCCCAGGCUGGAGCACACGGGCCUGCACAGAUCUUUUAUUCCAAUUCUCCGUUUAGUAACAGGAGAAGCCAGCAGGACCACCCUGCAGAGAGGGCUGAGCUGGAAACACAACCCAACUCUCCCUUUUCUGGUCCGGAGCUCUUUCUGCUGUUCAGUGUUGCCUGGAGGAAACACUGUAAAGUGCUCACAUCAUUGCUAGAUUAGUUGCACAAUAAAGAAGACAGAUAUUUUGUGCAAACCUUAAUGCCAGAACAAUGUAAAUGGUGAUAGUUAAUAUUAAUUGAGUGCUUACUGUGUGCCAAAUGCUGUGCUAAGUGCUUUAGAACUUCAUCUUACAGAUGAAGCACUUGAGGCUUCUAGAAGCUUCUAGAAGCUUUCUAGUAAGUGGUAGACAAGAAACCCAAUUCAAAUCUGUCUGACAUCCACCUAAGCCCAAGCAGCUAAGCUGUGUUGGGUGUGUGAAGAGAUUAGCUGAUAGUUACCUCCUUUAUCAAUAGCUAAACUAGUGAAAUCAGCAAAUCACCAGUUAAGUCUAUUCUAUCCCAGGCUGGCAGAUUUUGAAGUAAACAUUCUUUGUUUCCUCUUUAGCUGCGCUCUAUCCUUCUUAUUACGCAUGGCUAAGAAGCAAACCAUAGUCUAUAUGGUAUACUAACAAGAACACUGGAUUGGGUGUUUGGGCUCCGGAGUUUAAAUCAAGGUCUAUUGCAUGUCGGCUCUGAGUCCAAAUCCCUGCACCUCUUUAAGUGAGGAGUGGUAUACUGAGUACAAAGGCGGAAGGAGGUCAUGGACUUGAAAGCACUCUGUAAAGUGGAAUGUUCAGGAAGCCAACUCCCUCCGGAGGCAGCUUGGAGACCGCCUCAACGAGGAGGGCUGACAUGAGAGGAGGAACCAUAGGGACUGGAAUGUGAUGGAGAGUC